GACGAACGCUGGCGGCGUGCUUAACACAUGCAAGUCGAACGGAAAGGCCCUGCUUUUGUGGGGUGCUCGAGUGGCGAACGGGUGAGUAACACGUGAGUAACCUGCCCUUGACUUUGGGAUAACUUCAGGAAACUGGGGCUAAUACCGGAUAGGAGCUCCUGCUGCAUGGUGGGGGUUGGAAAGUUUCGGCGGUUGGGGAUGGACUCGCGGCUUAUCAGCUGGUUGGUGGGGUAGUGGCUUACCAAGGCUUUGACGGGUAGCCGGCCUGAGAGGUGACCGGCCACAUUGGGACUGAGCUACGGCCCAGACUCCUACGGGAGGCAGCAGUGGGGAAUAUUGCACAAUGGGCGGAAGCCUGAUGCAGCAGCGCCGCGUGCGGGAUGACGGCCUUCGGGUUGUAAACCGCUUUCGCCUGUGACGAAGCGUGAGUGACGGUAAUGGGUAAAGAAGCACCAGCUAACUACGUG
rnacentral:rRNA from 1 species